CCCGAAUUAUUAAAUGGGUCCAUUUUAGAUCAGGUCAACCCGUGUCAACCUGGCCUGAUAACCCAAAAUAAUACAUAGUAAGGAAUUAGGAAAUUAUAGUGAAAUAGACAAAUAGAGUCGCAAAUUUGGCCCAUUUGCAUUUAGCCCAAUAUCUACUCACUAUUUAAAUAACAAUCACUUUCUAACCCUAUUCUCAUUCUUUUGUUCAACAUGCAGCCACUCUCUCCGUCUCCCCCUCCCUCUUCAAUUCUUUAUAUUCGGUUUUCCCAUUUUAAUUUUUACUCCUGAUCAUUCAUUCCUCUACUUCUCAGAUCCUAACUCUUUCGUACGCAAAGCAAAGGUGCUUUAUCAAUUUUGAGGAAAAUUGCAUGUGCUCGUCGCAAGUACCAUCAAUUGUAGAAUUUGAGUGUAUAUUUUACAUUUCAGAUCUUAUUUGAUGUAAUUUGAGUAGAUUAAAUUAUAUUUUGUUCAGUUAGUUGUAAUAUAUAACUUUAAUAUCUAUGAUUUGCAUCCUUAAUAAGAAUGCUUUGAACUAUUUUCUCAA